rnacentral:rRNA from 1 species
GACGAACGCUGGCGGCGUGCCUAAUACAUGCAAGUAGAACGCUGAAGAGAGGAGCUUACUCUUCUUGGAUGAGUUGCGAACGGGUGAGUAACGCGUAGGUAACCUGCCUUGUAGCGGGGGAUAACUAUUGGAAACGAUAGCUAAUACCGCAUAACAAUGGAUGACACAUGUCAUUUAUUUGAAAGGGGCAAUUGCUCCACUACAAGAUGGACCUGCGUUGUAUUAGCUAGUAGGUGAGGUAAUGGCUCACCUAGGCGACGAUACAUAGCCGACCUGAGAGGGUGAUCGGCCACACUGGGACUGAGACACGGCCCAGACUCCUACGGGAGGCAGCAGUAGGGAAUCUUCGGCAAUGGGGGCAACCCUGACCGAGCAACGCCGCGUGAGUGAAGAAGGUUUUCGGAUCGUAAAGCUCUGUUGUGAGUCAAGAACGGGUGUGAGAGUGGAAAGUUCACACUGUGACGGUAGCUUAACAGAAAGGGACGGCUAACUACGUG